CAGAAGUCUCACUGGCCUAACCUUGAGGUGACAUCAUUGCUAUAUUUCUUCUGGACGCACUAGGAGACAAUCUGUUUCUUUGCCUUUUCCAGUUUCUAGAGGCCAUCUUUCCCCUUGGCUCAUGGUCCCUUCCUUCAUCUUCAAAGCCAGCGGUGUAGCAUCGUAGCAUCUUCAUGUCUCCUUGGGAUAAGAUGGGGCUCUCCUGGAUGAUUCAAGGCUGUGAUGCAGGCCAUGGCACAAUUGACUAAGGCACCAAGUACUAGGCAGAGACUUCACCCACCACCACCCAAUAACCAGGAAGAGUUAGUUGCCUAUACACACUUUGUUUUAAUCAGUGAGCCCCCUGCAUCUAUACUUGAAAUAUAGGUGUUAGGUUGCUUCUGGAAAAGAUCAGAAAAAGACUGCGUCUUAGGACACUCCAGCAAAAUACCAUAAACUAGGCUCAUAAACAACAGAAAUUUAUUUCUUACAGUUCUGGAGGCUGGUAAGUCCAAGAUCAAGGUGCUGGCAGAUUCAGUGUCGGGUGAGCCCACUUUCUGGCUCAUAGAUGGAGCCUCCCUGCUAUGUCCUUACAUGAUGGAAGAAAUUAAUGAAUUACUCUGGGCCCCUUUUAUAUGGACAUGGAUCACAUUCCUGAGAGCUCUCUCCUCAUGACCUAAUCACUUCCCAAACACCCCACCUCCUAAUACUGUCACCUUGAGGGUUAGGAUUUUAACAUAUGAAUUUUGAGAGAUGUCAACAUUCAGGCCAUAGCAGAGGAUAAUCCCUAGAGGUCUUUCAGAUUUAAUUAGAUGUUAAAGUGCUUUUAACUGCACAUGAUCCUCACAGGUUACUAGACAGGUGAUGCUAUGGCAAAAGCUGAAAGAACAAAAUGCAGGACAACUAAAUAUAUCUCAGAUAAGUUAUUGCCUCUACUACUGACAAUAUUCUGUCAAAAAAAAUUCUGGGCCAAAUAAUACAUUAAACAGGAUGUCAGAACAAGAAGCAUAAGAGGGGACUGGCCCUGGGCCAAGUGAGAUUUAUGAUUAUCUUCACUAGGUGGUCACAAUUUGCCUAGGGGGACACAGGUGGGCAGAGUCCUGAAUGCAGAGAAGGUGCGUGUGCCACAGUGACCUUAGGGAGAAGGGUGCAAGCCGAGGUACAGUAAAUGCAAACAUUCUCAACAAGAAGACCAGAGAGAAAAGGAGGUGGGAGGGGCAGGAAAUACAGGUAGAGAUGCAACACAGCCAGAUGGUACAGGGUUUAGGAGAAUUCCAAAAGAGAUUGGUUCCAUGUAUAGUGAGAUCAUGUGCUAUUUGAUCUGGUUUAUUUCAAUCAGUAGAAUGUCUUCCAGGCUUACUCACAUUGUAGCAAAUGACAGGAUUUUCUUUUUUUUUCGUGUGGCUAAAUAACAUUCUAUUGUAUUUUCUUUAUCUAUUCAUUCUUGGAUUGACACUUAGAUUGUUUCCACAUCUCUGUUAUUGUGAAUAAUGUUGCAAUGAAUAUGAGAGUGCAGAUAUCUCAAGAUACUGAUUUCAUUUCCUUUGGAAAUAUACAUAAUAGUGGAAUUGCUGGAUUAUAUUUCAGUUCUAUUUUUAAUUUUCUGAGUAACCUCCAUAUUGUUUUCCAUAAUGACUGCACCAAUUUAUAUCCCUGCCAACAGUGUACAAGGGUUGCCUUUUCUCCACACUCUUGCCAACACUUGUUAUCUCUCAUUUUCUUGGUAAUAGCCAGGUGUGAGGUAAUAGCUCAUUGUGGUUUUGAUUUGCAUUUUCCUGAUGAUUAGUGAUGUUGAUCAUUUCUUCAUGUACCUGUUGUACAUUUAUAUGACUUCUUUGGAAAAAUACCCAUUCAGGUCCUUUGCCCAUUUGCUAAUCAGAUUAUUUGUUUUUGCCUUUUUCCUUUUUUUUUUUUUUUUUUUGAGUUGGGCAGUUUUUUAUUUUUUAUUGAGUGGGGCAAGUUCCUUAUAUAUUUUGUAUAUUAAACCCGUAUUAGAUAUUAUGGUUUGCAAUAUUUCUCCCAUACUAUAAGUUACCUUUUCAUUUUGUUAAUAAUUUCCUUAGCUGUACAGAAGCUUUUUAUUUUAAUGUAGGCCUGCUUGUUUAUUUUUGCUUUUGUUGCUUGCGCUUUUGGUGUCACAUGGAAAGAAAUCAGUGCCAACAUCAAUGUCAAGAAGCAUUUUCUCUAUGUGUUUUUCUAAAAUUUUAUGGUUUCAGAUUUCAUAUUUAAGCUUUUAAUCCAUUUUACAUUGUGUAUGGUGUAAGACAAGGUCCAAUUCAUUCUUUUGAUAAUAGAUACCCAGUUUUCCCAACCACAUUUAUUGAAGAGAUUGUCCUUUUCCUGUUGUGUAUUCUUGGCACCUGUGUUAGUCUAUUCUCACACUGCUAUAAAGAAAUACCAGAGACUGGGUAAUUUAUAAAGAAAAGAGGUUUAAUUGACACAAUUUUGCAUGGCUGAAGAGGCCUCAACGAAC
rnacentral:lncRNA from 10 species